rnacentral:rRNA from 1 species
UCCUACGGGAGGCAGCAGUGAGGAAUAUUGGUCAAUGGACGCAAGUCUGAACCAGCCAAGUAGCGUGCAGGAUGACGGCCCUCCGGGUUGUAAACUGCUUUUAGUUGGGAAUAAAAGGGGGCUCGUGAGCCCCGUAUUGUAUGUACCAUCAGAAAAAGGACCGGCUAAUUCCGUGCCAGCAGCCGCGGUAAUACGGAAGGUCCGGGCGUUAUCCGGAUUUAUUGGGUUUAAAGGGUGCGCAGGCGGGCUGUUAAGCCGGCGGUAACAAUUCAGGGCUCAACCCU